AGGACGAACGCUGGCGGCGUGCUUAACACAUGCAAGUCGAGCGAGGCCCUUCCUUCGGGAAGGUGCCCUAGCGGCGAACGGGUGAGUAACACGUGGGCAACCUGCCCCUAGCACUGGGAUAACUCCGGGAAACCGGGGCUAAUACCGGAUAUGACCUCCGAGGGCAUCCUUGGUGGUGUAAAGGAUUCUGGCUAGGGAUGGGCCCGCGGCCUAUCAGCUUGUUGGUGGGGUAAUGGCCUACCAAGGCGACGACGGGUA
rnacentral:rRNA from 1 species